rnacentral:rRNA from 1 species
GCAAGUCGAACGGAAACGAUGGGAGCUUGCUCUCAGGCGUCGAGUGGCGGACGGGUGAGUAACGCGUAGGAAUCUACCCAGUUGUGGGGGAUAGCCCGGAGAAAUCCGGAUUAACACCGCAUACGCCCUACGGGGGAAAACAGGGGAUCUUCGGACCUUGUGCAAUUGGAUGAGCCUGCGUUAGAUUAGCUAGUUGGUGGGGUAAGAGCUCACCAAGGCAACGAUCUAUAGCUGGUCUGAGAGGAUGAUC